rnacentral:sRNA from 1 species
UAGAGGAAGUAAAAGUCGUAACAAGGUUUCCGUAGGUGAACCUGCGGAAGGAUCAUUACAGUGUUCCUGCCCUCACGGGUAGAAACCCCCACCCUUGUGUAUAAUAUGAUGUUGCUUUGGCGCGCCGCCGCAAGGCCUGGGCUUCGGCCCGGUGCGCGCGUCAAGGGACCCUAAACUCUGAAGUAUCAUGUCGUCUGAGUACUAUUUAAUAGUUAAAACUUUCAACAACGGAUCUCUUGGUUCUGGCAUCGAUGAAGAACGCAGCGAAAUGCGAUAAGUAAUGUGAAUUGCAGAAUUCAGUGAAUCAUCGAAUCUUUGAACGCACAUUGCGCCCCUUGGUAUUCCGAGGGGCAUGCCUGUUCGAGCGUCAUAUAGACCAACUCCCGCUUCGGCGGGGUCUUGGGCUUCGCCUUUGGGCGGGCCUUAAAAUCAGUGGCGGUGCCUGCUUGGCUCUACGCGUAGUAAUACUCCUCGCGAUAGAAACCGGUGGAUGCUGGCCAACAACCCCCAAUUUUUAAAGGUUGACCUCGGAUCAGGUAGGGAUACCCGCUGAACUUAAGCAUAUCA